GUGACCCCCCACACUGGUACUGAGACACGGACCAGAUACCUGCGGGUAGCAGCAGCAAGGAAUAUUGCCCAAUGGACGAAAGUCUGAGGCAGCAACACCGCGUGGAGGAUGAAGGUCUUCGGAUUGUAAACUCCUUUUCUGGGGGAAGAGAAAGGACGGUACCCCAGGAAUAAGUCUCGGCUAACUACGUGCCAGCAGCCGCGGUAACACGUAGGAGGCAAGCGUUAUCCGGAUUUACUGGGCGUAAAGCGCAUGCAGGCGGUCUUUUAAGUCGGACGUGAAAGCUCCUGGCUCAACUGGGAGAGGCCGUUCGAUACUGGAAGACUUGAGGAUGGUAGAGGAGAGUGGAAUUCCCGGUGUAGUGGUGAAAUGCGUAGAUAUCGGGAGGAACACCAGUGGCGAAGGCGGCUCUCUGGGCCAUUCCUGACGCUCAGAUGCGAAAGCUAGGGGAGAGAACGGGAUUAGAAACCCCGGUAUUCCUAGCCGUAAACGAUGUCAACUAGGCGUAGGAGGUCAUUGACCCUCCUGUGCUGCAGCUAACGCAUUAAGUUGACCGCCUGGGGACUACGGCCGCAAGGCUAAAACUCAAAGGAAUUGACGGGGACCCGCACAAGCAGCGGAGCGUGUGGUUUAAUUCGAGGCUACGCGAAGAACCUUACCAGGGUUUGACAUAUGCGUGGUAGUGAUUCGAAAGAUGAACGACCCUUCGGGGAGCGCAUACAGGUGCUGCAUGGCUGUCGUCAGCUCGUGCCGUGAGGUGUUAGGUUAAGUCCUGUAACGAGCGCAACCCUCGUCGUUAGUUACAUGUGUCUAACGAGACUGCCGGUGAUAAGCCGGAGGAAGGUGGGGAUGACGUCAAGUCAGCAUGGCCUUUAUAUCCUGGGCUACACACACGCUACAAUGGCCGGUACAAUGGGUUGCCAAACCGCGAGGUGGAGCCAAUCCCCCAAAGCCGGUCUCAGUUCGGAUUGCAGGCUGCAACUCGCCUGCAUGAAGUCGGAGUUGCUAGUAA
rnacentral:rRNA from 1 species